CAGUCGCCGCGGUAAUACGUAGGUGGCAAGCGUUGUCCGGAAUCGUUGGGCGUAAAGGGAGCGCAGGCGGGCAUGUAAGUCUUUCUUAAAAGUUCGGGGCUCAACCCCGUGAUGGGAAAGAAACUACAUGUCUUGAGUACAGGAGAGGAAAGCGGAAUUCCCAGUGUAGCGGUGAAAUGCGUAGAUAUUGGGAGGAACACCAGUGGCGAAGGCGGCUUUCUGGACUGCAACUGACGCUGAGGCUCGAAAGCUAGGGGAGCGAACGGGAUUAGAUACCCCCGUAGUCCCUGUCUCUUAUACC
rnacentral:rRNA from 1 species